UCCCUGUACUUACGUAUCUUUCUUAGCUAGCAUUAAAACCUACUGCCAACAUCUGUACGCAGUAGAAGUUUUUAAUGAAUGCAUAUUGUGAUUAGGGAUAACUGUGCAGGUAAUGUAUGAGUUCAGGUCAAUCUCCUUUUGUAUCGUAGUUCUUUGAGAAUGGAAGGGAUCCACUGAAGUAAUCUGACAGCUGAGCAGCGAUAAAUCAUUUAGCUAGUCUAAUAGCUUGCUGGGUUGAACCAGAGUGCUGGAAAGGUGAAUCACCUUCAUUUGAAGAUUAAAUAAACCACUAUUGGCUAGCUACUGAAUUUCAGUCCCUAUCGUCCUGUCAGAGUUUCUCUGUUUAGUUGAAGCUGCAUCUCUGCAGUUGGCCUUCAGCUGGGGUUUUUCUGCCUCCAUCUGCUGCAGUUGUGCAGCAGCAUUCAGCAUUUCUCUCUGAGAAGUGCUUCCUACCCUGUAAGCAGGUUGCCUGAAGGCAGCUUGGUUUAGCAACAAGGGCACUCACCGUCAGUGAGAUGGGUUCAAGUGCUUCUUAAGAGUCACAGGGCCUUAAACUCUCAUCAGGUGUAAGCUGAGCUGUAACUACUGUUUUCUGAGCUCUGGAGAGCUUCCACUGGUGAGACCCAUCCUGUAUGAGCCUGGGAAGGAUUAUGGCUCUGAAGUGGCAACAGCUCUUUCAGGUUAGAGGCAGCAGUUGCCCUUUGUGGGGCAGGAUGCCAAUCUGCCUUCAAAAACUGUUCAGUGAUGGUGCCAGCAUGCCUGUGAGAAGCCUUGGAUUGCUGGCUUCCAGAUAUGUGCACUUCAAUGAUGUUGUUAAGCUUAAUCUUUCUAUUCAACUAUGAAGUGUCUGCACUGUGCGGGCAGCCAUCAGAAUUCCCUUGUUCUCUGGUGGCUGCAAAUAAAGUGUAUUCACAGCAUUUAGACUUCCUUUGGUUAUGUCAGACUAAUACCCACCUCUUCUUGCCAAGUCUCAAGCAUUUGGCUUCAAACCCUGCAUUCAGAGGUAGCUUCCAGGCCUGUCUUAACCUGUGGUGAUACCAUAACGCCAACCCCAAGGAACCAGCAUGCAGCCUGGAGCUGGCUCAGCCUCAGGUGGGGAUGCUCCUCUGCAGCUGCAGCCUGGGUGAGGCGAUGCAGGGAUGAACGGUGGCUGCUCUAUGGGACCAGGGGAUCACAGCACAGAAUGGUUGGGAUAACUUCAUGCACACAAGAGAUUAAUCCAAGCUGUCUCAAUGCAGUGUGGUUCCCUCAGCCACCUCUCAUCUUUCUAGCUAUUGUUGCCUUUUUAAUUUUUUGCAAGCUUUGUGUUCAGUUUGGCUAUCAGAACCAGCUCUUGCUGGACACUGCCUUGCUGAGUGGGGGCACUCAACCUCUGGUGAAAGCUUUGGUGUUUGUGGCACUUUCUAAAUUGAAGCUGCAGUCAAUUGCUGUUUGUAAAUAUGCCAACAAGUACUUGUUUAUAUAAAAACUGUGGGAAUUGUUAGCUUAGAGGCAGAGAUGAGACAUUUUUCAUUCUUUGGCAAACCAUUGCCUUGCUAACAGAGAUGCUGGCAUUUCAGGGCAGCUGGGCGCAAACAUUCUCCUACAUUCAGCCCUUUUCUUGCUUCUAGAACACUUUUUUUCCCCCUACGCUUGUCACUCUGGCCAAGAGGACUUAGAAUCUAAGGGAGAAUGGUAAAUGUCUGGGCUGGAGCCUGUUUUAUAAAUAUUUUUAUUCUUGCCCCUCUUCAAAAUAGGGAACUUGUAAACUUCUUUUCCUAAUGUACAGACUGAGACCAAGAGGCUGUGCAGGGCUGGGGAAGCAGAGCUCAGUCAGUGGAGUCUGACAGGGUCUAGCUGAGCUUGCAAGAGAGUGACUUGUCAAAUUAACUCCUUUUUAAUAAAUAAAACCUUCGGAGCAGCCUGCAGACCAACAUUGUAGCGAAGGGUUCAUCUGGAGGAACUGAAAGCAACAGGGUUGAGAGGAAGCAGAUGCGGGACGUUCUUGCAUCCACUGCGCAACAGCAAUUAACAGCUGUUGGGGAUCGAGGUGCCCCGGCCCUCCUGCAGCCUUGCACGGGAGCCGGGAUCGCAGUUUGGGGCGGGCUGGCAGGGAAAGCCUUCGCCCCCCUGCGGCCGGUGGAUGCGGCACGAGUCCCAGUAGUGUCAUCAGGGAGCGCGCUGUGACCGGAGCUGCGUUACGUUGCUUUGCUAAGGGAGAGUCCCGCAUUCAUCCCCACGUGGCUUUCCUCGGGGGAGAUGAAAGCCAGCCCUCGCUGCCACGCGGUGAGCCGGGGCGGGCAGCGGGGCUGGAGCUGUGCGAGCCGGCAGCCUGGGGGAGAGGCUUCCGUGGGACUUGUCCGGGCUUGUCGGGCCUCGGCCCGGCCCCGGCCGUGCGCUCGCAGGGAUCGCCCCGCUCGAUACGGACGAGCCCCAGGUGCGGGCGGUGCCGCGCUGCCCGCCUGCUCUGCUGCACGGGAUGUGAGCGGCGCGGAGGUAGCUAUUGGAUUACACGGGCGAUGAAGGCAUGCUGGAAAGGAGUGGCUCAGAUGAGAAUUGAAGGCACCAGGAGUCAUUUCAGAUCAGAGGUAA